rnacentral:rRNA from 1 species
AUUGAACGCUGGCGGCAUGCUUUACACAUGCAAGUCGAACGGUAACAGGCCGCAAGGUGCUGACGAGUGGCGAACGGGUGAGUAAUGCAUCGGAACGUGCCCAGUCGUGGGGGAUAACGCAGCGAAAGCUGCGCUAAUACCGCAUACGAUCUAUGGAUGAAAGCGGGGGACCGUAAGGCCUCGCGCGAUUGGAGCGGCCGAUGGCGGAUUAGGUAGUUGGUGGGGUAAAGGCUCACCAAGCCAACGAUCUGUAGCUGGUCUGAGAGGACGACCAGCCACACUGGGACUGAGACACGGCCCAGACUCCUACGGGAGGCAGCAGUGGGGAAUUUUGGACAAUGGGCGCAAGCCUGAUCCAGCAAUGCCGCGUGCAGGAAGAAGGCCUUCGGGUUGUAAACUGCUUUUGUACGGAACGAAACGGUCCUGGUUAAUACCUGGGGCUAAUGACGGUACCGUAAGAAUAAGCACCGGCUAACUACGUGCCAGCCGCCGCCGUAAGAC